GAUCCUCCCGCCUCGGUCUCCCAAAGCGCUGGGAUUACAGCAGGAGCCCCCGCACCUGGCCCCGACGGACACUUUUUUUGUUCAGUGCUAACUGAGCAUGUCCACACACAGGGCUGACGAAAGCUGGCUGGUUGCUAUGGAGAAGGCGUGCGCUGUGUACCGUGGAGACUAAGAGCGUGAGCUUCGGAGGCGGCUAACCCCUGGCAGAUGUGCGACUUGGCCAGGUUGCUGAGCUUGCUAAGCCCACGUCUCACUCUCUGAACAGGGAUAAUGACACCUCCCUCACAGAGUGGUUGUGAGGAUUAAAUGAGAUAAUCCAUCAGAGCUCCCUGCUAGCACACGGUAAGCAGGCAACCACGAACAGAACAGCCGUGGAACAAGACACCUGGAUGCUCCUUCGUGCCAGGCACCAGGCGAGGUGCUAGAGAUGUGGACGAGAACAGCAUGAUUUCUGCUCGGGGCUGGGCCACGACAUGCUACCACACUGCCUGCCGUUGCUGUGAAAAGUCCCUGGGCGGUCUUUGCAUCUGUAUAUGGAGACAUCUCUCCACCGUGGGGGCUUUUCAUUUUCACACAGGUCCCUUUGGCUAUGCAAGUGCCAGAGAGAGAUGGCCCAGCUGAUCUUGGCCUGCCUGAACUCCCAGGGUGGCCACUCUCUUCCACCAGACGACAAUCGGCAAUGACAAACUCACCAGGAGAGGAAGGGGCUGCUCAGUCCUGACUGUGGCUCUGGCCUAAACCUGCCCAAUUCGGAACCUUUCUGUGCCCCUCACAAGCAAAGGAGGGCGAGCUCAGAGAAGAUACUAAGUAUUCUUUGAAGGCUUUUGUGAACUUUUGUAAGAUACAACUUCCCUUGCGGUUUGCCCUGGCGCGAAGUGUGGACAGUUGCUCUCAUCUGCAAUACAGAUUUUAAAAGUUAACGCUAAACACGGUCUCGAAUACUAUCUUUUAAUGCAGCCACACGAUUUACCACUGCAGCCCAGGUAUCUUCAAAGUCAAU